AAUCUGAUCCGCAUGCCGCGUGAGGAGGAAGGCCCUCCGGGAUUGUAAACUUCUUUUNCUGGAAAAAAACCUCGGUUUUCUUACCAGGUUGACCGGACCCUAAGAAUAAGCACCGGCUAACUCCAUGCCAGCAGCCGCGGUAAUACGGAAGGUGCGGGCGUUAUCCGGAUUCACUGGGUUUAAAGGGUGCCUAGGCGAGUCUGUUAGUUCCUGGCGAAAACUGGCACCUUAACUGCCGAACUGCCGUUGAUACCAUAUUGGUGGAAUUCUGUUGAGGUUCGGAGAAUUCGUAAUGAUUG
rnacentral:rRNA from 1 species